AUAAAAAUAACCGCGGUUCUUACCAUUUCAUCGCUGAAUAUCGGCUAUAGAUUAAACCACAGAUAUAAGACGCUGAAAAUGCCGACAGCUUGCCAAAAAAUCUAUAGUCAUUACCUUUGCCCUAUUUGAUUCUCGGCUGAAGUUGUAAUAAAGUAAAAGCUAAUCAGAUAAGACACAGGUUAUCUAACGAAACUUGUCAGUCAAAGUGCAAACUCGAAAAGCACAAAAAAACACAGGCUAAUAUGCGACGAACGGACAAGGUGCGCCACACAACAGCUUGUUUAAAUAGAUACAAUUCUUGAAGGAACAAAAGACAGGAAAAUGCAGUAUUUCAACGCUUACAAAAAAAAUUCUAUUGAUGAUGCUACGUCAAACCAGAAAAAUAACACAUACCUGUCUCCAAAAGCCAUUGGACAUUUAUAGAGUGCUUACAGAUGGCGUACUCGUUUAUUUGGUAUGCCUACGCACUAACGAAAGUCAGAAGUGAAUUGGUAACUAGCAGGUUAAAGGGUCGCCAUACGCCCGUCUUUAUAAUUAUUUGUAGUUUUCGAGACGUUGCUUCCGUUUGUCUGGCCUGUUAUUUUUAUAUUUGUAAUGAAAUAUGAUGAAUGAAUAUUAAGAAAAAUUAACGCCAUAUUCAAUAAGCAAAUAAAUGUAAAAAACCAUUUAAAAAAAAACAAAAAUUGUCAAUGGGUUUUCGAUGAUUAAUCAACGUGCAAUACAGAAUAGCAAGUAGGAAUACCUCUACUUCGUCCACCAAAUAUUUAGUUUCUUUGAUGUAGAUAUAUACAUUUUGUUAUCAUUUAAGAUUUAUAUUUUAGUUAAUAUAUUAAUUUCUAUUCUGA
rnacentral:lncRNA from 1 species